rnacentral:lncRNA from 1 species
GGGGGUGCGGAGGGGGACAGAGGUCAAGGCAGUGAAAGGGCCAGGGGGAGGGUACUGGGAGGAGGAGCCUCCGGCGGGGUCGACAGUGCGCUGAGUCAGGGUCCCCGCGGAGACCUCGCGCCAGCUCGCUGAUUCCCUAGACCUUCUUGUUUUCCUGGGUUCCGCCUGGAUUUUCCUUGGAUCCAACUCACUUACUCCCUUUGCUUGGGAAUGGGGAACAUGGGGGCAACACCCCAGGUCAAAAGGAAAAGAGCAUCUGUGCCCGCCCCGCCUGGCUCGCUCAUCCCCCCUCCUUUUUUCCCCUCCUCUCCUCCUCGCCCCCUUCUCUUCCGCCCAAAGGGAAGGCGGGGGCGGGCUGUGUAUGUAUGUAUGUAUGCAUGUAAGCGUGUGUGCGCGCGCGCGGGUGCGGUAGAUCUGUGUGUGCGUUCGGUGUGUGGCCGGGUGUGGGGGGUGUGUGCGCGGAGCACGUUUUAGCUGGAGUGCUUGGUGUGGUGUGUAUUUGGUUUGCGCUUUGACAUGCAGCAUGUGUUUGUGUGUGCACGCUUAUAGGUUGUAUGUUUCUGCCCGAUUAUAGUGGGAUUAUGUGGGUGCGGUUUGAAGGUGGGUGUGUGCUGUUCCUGCCGGGGUUUGUGGUCGUGCUGUGGUGAGUGUAUAUGUGUGUGCAAUGUGUGGAUGUGUGUGUGCCCGUUGAAGCUUGUGUGCAUAUGUGUGGAGUGUGUUUAUGCUUAGAUGCAGUGUGUCAAUGUGGGUUUACAGGUGGUGUCUGUUGAACUGUGUAGUGUGUGAAUGUGUGCGUGUGCAAGAUUUCUCUAUAAGUCAAUCUACUUGAGAUGUGUGUUCAAAGGUUUAUGCAUGUGAGGGUGCGGUGUGUGUCUUUUGGUGUGAUGUUCUCAUGUGUGUGGUGUGGACGCAUGUGGUCAGCUUACGUGCUUGGAUGAAGGGGUUGUGUGUGUCUUGAAGGGGGAUUGCCGCGUAAGUGUAUGGGUGCGGUGUGUGAGAGUACAGGGUUGUCUAAAAGAACCCAAGUGACCGUGUGUGUGGUUGGGGGCGGGGACGAGUGGGACGUUGGGCUGGGACUGAGAGAAGAAAGGAAGUAGGGGCCGCGACCCCGGCAGGGGUUCCCGCUGGUCUGAUCUUCACCGUGGGGGUUCGCCUGCCCGCCCACCUCUGUGUCGGCAAGGCCCGCUGGGGCAGGGUGUGAAUGUACCUGGCUGCUUAAAGGAAAGAAGAGGAGGGCACCGCACGUGAUUGGCCAGCCCUGUUCCUUCCUUUUGGACUAAUGGCUGAGUGACCCAACUGGAUUUCCUUGGCUUGAACCUGAGCAAGCCCUCUCUCUCUAAAGACUUGAAUGCCUACUCCCUUCACUGAGUGGUUUCUUCUGUUCCUGGCCAACUCAGAGUACUUGAGAGACUGGAGCAUUGGGGAUCAGAUUUUGGUGUGCAUCUGCAUCAUCUGGGAUACUUUUCAAAUGCAGACCCCCAGGCCUCGACUAAAGUGCUUCUGAUAUGGAUAAUUUAUAGAUCACACAUUGAGAAAUACUGCUGUGUGCUAUGGGAUUAAUAUUUGAUGUAUAAAAUGAAUAUGAGUAGCUACAUAACCACAGUUUUAUUGAUCAAAGACAUGAGUAGCUGGGAGAGAGAAACACUCUUUUCCCUUCCCUCCUCAGGUCACCUAAUCAUCAGAACCUUAUUCACUCCAAUGUCAGAAACCCACAUCAAGGAUGCAUUGAUCUGGCAUCCCCAGUGAGCUAAGUUCCCAGGAGACUAAGCCACCAGUAACCAUCACACCUCUCCACCUCCCUCAAUGAAGAACUUGCCACUACUGAAAGUAUAAGAUAAUAAUAGAUUAAAAUCCAUUAAUCAGUAAGUUAAUAUUCCAUGCAUAUUCUAACUCUUACUAUUGGGAUCUCUUUUUUUCAGUUUCUCUCAUCUACAGAUACAUUAAGAAUAGUCAGUUUCUUUUCUUUCUUUCUUUCUUUUCUUUUCUUUCUUUCUUUCUUUCUUUUCUUUUCUUUCUUUCUUUCUUUUUCUUUCUUUCUUUUUUUUUUUCUCUGAGACACAGUUUCUCUCUUGUUGCCCAGACUGGAGUGCUAUGGUGUGAUCUCAGCUCACCAGAACCUUUGCCUCCUGGGUUCAAGCAAUUCUCCUGCCUCAGCCUCCUGAGUAGCUGGGAUUGCAGGCAUGCACCACCACGCCUGGCUAAUUUUGUAUUUUUAGUAGAGACAGGGUUUCUCCAUGUUGGUCAGGCUGGUCUCGAACUCCCAACCUCAGGUGAUCCACCCGCCUCGGCCUCCCAAAGUGCUGGGACUACAGGUGUGAGCCACCACGCCCAGCCUAAGAAUAGUCAGUUUGUAACACAAACAUCUGCAGAACAAGAAUUAACCCAAUAGCGACAAAAACAAAUAUGAGAGAAUAAAUGUUAUUAUGUGUUUUUUAAACUAUGAGUUUGGAAAAGUACAAGAUGUCCUGCUUGUGCUCUCAAGUUAUAUUUAAUAUCAUCAAAUCCCACUCACCAUUGCAGGUUAUUGCUUAAGGGUCACUUGAGGUCGAAGUGGAGACAGGAGAGAAAGGACAAAGGGGGAAAGGAUGAGAGGGUGAAGACAUAGCCAGACUGCUCAAAGGAGUGCUUAGCAGGGAGGCUCCUGGAAACAUUCAUCUCCAGUGAGUGGACAGGGGCGCUUACUUGAGAAGGAGCCAGAGUAGGCUAUUGCUGUUCAACCCCAAACCCUGCACUUGAGACCCCCUCCACAAAUCACAUGCUGAGAUUUCCAAAAUACCCUUGCCCUUAGAAUCUCAAAGGAUUCUCACUUCAGCUGCAAGAAGCCAAGGGGGCAUUACUACACACCCUAUUUGACAAGUGGGGCUUUAAAGGCUACAGAAGUUUGGAAGAGGCAAUGCCUAGUGUAGAAAAGGAAACCAACAGAUCAUGAUGCAGUGGAAAGUAUACUGGAAUUUAUAAAUUUACAUUUAGCAGAAUCUCAAGCAUGUCAAAUUGCAUAGAAAAAAAGCUGGAAGGAAAUAUGGACCCAAUAUUGAUCAUUAUGGAUGACUGACGUUUUCUUCUUCAUACGUGUCUGGGUUUUCCUCUCCUCUC